rnacentral:rRNA from 1 species
CCCUUCCCUUUGGGGCGGCCUACACAUGCAAGUCGAGCGGUAGCACAGAGAGCUUGCUCUCGGGUGACGAGCGGCGGACGGGUGAGUAAUGUCUGGGAAACUGCCUGAUGGAGGGGGAUAACUACUGGAAACGGUAGCUAAUACCGCAUAAUGUCGCAAGACCAAAGUGGGGGACCUUCGGGCCUCAUGCCAUCAGAUGUGCCCAGAUGGGAUUAGCUAGUAGGUGGGGUAACGGCUCACCUAGGCGACGAUCCCUAGCUGGUCUGAGAGGAUGACCAGCCACACUGGAACUGAGACACGGUCCAGACUCCUACGGGAGGCAGCAGUGGGGAAUAUUGCACAAUGGGCGCAAGCCUGAUGCAGCCAUGCCGCGUGUGUGAAGAAGGCCUUCGGGUUGUAAAGCACUUUCAGCGGGGAGGAAGGCGGUGAGGUUAAUAACCUUGUCGAUUGACGUUACCCGCAGAAGAAGCACCGGCUAACUCCGUGCCAGCAGCCGCGGUAAUACGGAGGGUGCAAGCGUUAAUCGGAAUUACUGGGCGUAAAGCGCACGCAGGCGGUCUGUCAAGUCGGAUGUGAAAUCCCCGGGCUCAACCUGGGAACUGCAUUCGAAACUGGCAGGCUAGAGUCUUGUAGAGGGGGGUAGAAUUCCAGGUGUAGCGGUGAAAUGCGUAGAGAUCUGGAGGAAUACCGGUGGCGAAGGCGGCCCCCUGGACAAAGACUGACGCUCAGGUGCGAAAGCGUGGGGAGCAAACAGGAUUAGAUACCCUGGUAGUCCACGCCGUAAACGAUGUCGAUUUGGAGGUUGUGCCCUUGAGGCGUGGCUUCCGGAGCUAACGCGUUAAAUCGACCGCCUGGGGAGUACGGCCGCAAGGUUAAAACUCAAAUGAAUUGACGGGGGCCCGCACAAGCGGUGGAGCAUGUGGUUUAAUUCGAUGCAACGCGAAGAACCUUACCUGGUCUUGACAUCCACAGAACUUUCCAGAGAUGGAUUGGUGCCUUCGGGAACUGUGAGACAGGUGCUGCAUGGCUGUCGUCAGCUCGUGUUGUGAAAUGUUGGGUUAAGUCCCGCAACGAGCGCAACCCUUAUCCUUUGUUGCCAGCGGUUAGGCCGGGAACUCAAAGGAGACUGCCAGUGAUAAACUGGAGGAAGGUGGGGAUGACGUCAAGUCAUCAUGGCCCUUACGACCAGGGCUACACACGUGCUACAAUGGCAUAUACAAAGAGAAGCGACCUCGCGAGAGCAAGCGGACCUCAUAAAGUAUGUCGUAGUCCGGAUUGGAGUCUGCAACUCGACUCCAUGAAGUCGGAAUCGCUAGUAAUCGUAGAUCAGAAUGCUACGGUGAAUACGUUCCCGGGCCUUGUACACACCGCCCGUCACACCAUGGGAGUGGGUUGCAAAAGAAGUAGGUAGCUUAACCUUCGGGAGGGCGCUACCACUUUGGAUUUGCUGGGA